CAGGACCGAAGCGUUCUUCAAACGGCAGCCGAAAGCCACGGCCCCGAUAGCCACCCCCCGCAUCACUUUCCUGCCGCCGCGGGAGGAAAGUUUCGGUGGGUCCUGUCCUGGGGGUUACCCCCAGGGGCUGCCCGCGACCCCCUCACCCCUUCCCCCUCCCCCGAGAAGGGGUCACCUCCUCCCUCCCGCCCCACCGCCGCGCCCCGCGGAUGAUGCUCGGCACGGAGGGGUUCCCCCCCUCCCUCCUCUCCCUCCCACCUCUCCUUUCCCCUCCCCUCCCCUCAGCCCUCGGUACUCAGCCCUUGACUUUGCCGAAGGUGCCGACCCCCAGCGUAUCCCCCAGCACGUAGUGGCCGAUCUUCACCCUCCCGUCGUGCUUCUGCUGCUUCUCGGCCAUCUUCGCCCCCCGGCGGAGGACCACAAUGCGCAGGGCCGGCACGGAUAUGCUUUCCGGGCUUAACGUUUCCAGGAUCCCACUGCUCAGUGCAGACAUGGCAGCAGGUGGGUGAGCCAGGAGCCCAGCAUGCAGCAGGAACAGAGCCCUGUGCCACAGAUGGAUGCUGAGCACUUUCAAGCUGGCCAUUUAGAGAGUUUGUAACCAGAAAUCAAUCCAGGCAGAAAAAAUGUACAUCUACCUGUUUACAUCAUAAACCACAAACGCGUUUGCAUCCUGCAACAAACACCUGGGCAACAUCCAGAGGAGACAUUCCCAACGUGUUAACUACUGCCAGCGCUGGGAUCCUGUAACCACAGCACAUGGAGAUGAUGGGAACUCAGUUAAAUUAAGGAGAACCACCAAGAUUGUGAAACGUGGCAGCAGGACAAGAGCUGGUUGCAACACAGGCUAGACUUUAGGUCUGUUGGCCAAUCGAACACAUCUGAUGCUGGUGAUUGGGAUGCCAGAGACAGUUCCCUGACUGCUGAUCUACCCUGUGGGUCACUGAGGCACGUUCUUGAGGGCUGAUCCUCCUGGCCUGCACAAAUCUGCAUGUCCAAUUUCCCGAAUGGCAGAAAAUUCUACAUUAAGAUGACAUUUAUCAGCUAAUCUUUUAAAAGAAAUUAACUGGGUAUUUAUGAGGCUUAGACUUAGGGUAUCAUAGAAUCAUUAAGGUUGGAAAAGACCACCAAGACCAGCAAGUCCGACUGUCAACUGAUUCCCCACCAUGCCCACCAACUACAUCCUUCUGUGCCACAAUCUAACUUCUCAGUGGCACCAGGGAGAGCACAACCAAGCUCCUUUUGGAUCCCACUUGUAUCUUGUUCCCUUACUGCAAGGACAGACCCAAGCCCAACCCUGGCAAACAUUUCCUACCAGGGCAGCCACCACUGUGCAGGCUGGGUGAUGAGGCACCAGUGGGUGCAAGGAAACCCUAAAGCCCACAGGGGUCAGGGCUGGCAAUGCCCCACAUCCCUCCAUGCUGCUCAGCCCUUCUGCUGAUGUUCUGCAGGAGAGCAGCAGCUGAUGGUGCUAAAAAUACCCUUGGGCAGGGUAGCAGUGGUUCAGCACUGGGCUUCCCAGAAGAGUGCUGGUAUUUCAGCCUUGUGACUCCAGCUCAGGCCACUUGAUGAACAGCAUGCAACUUUGCUCUGAUUUCCCCAUUUGGUAGGGAACAAUCUCAGUAACGGAUGGAUAAGUCAGCAAACAGCAUAGUUCGCUUUCUUAUUUUAGGUCUCCCAUAGACAUAGAUAUGAAUGACUCUGAAAUAUAGGCAGCACCUGGUCCUUCCCUGCUGUCACAUUGUCCCCUUGAUGGAAAAGCAAAGGAGAUUCCUAUACAAGAUCCCUCUGUAGGUCUGAGGAGGCAGCCGUAAAUGUCCGACCAUAUGCGUGCCAAACAUCCAACCACUCUGCAACCUCACUUUGCCCAUUGCACGUGGGGCAAGAUGGGAGGGAUUCCCCAAAUCUGCAAGCACAUCCCAUAAAAUACCCCGGACACCAGCUGAGAGCACCACCUGUCAGUGGAGUGCUUUGUUCCCAAACCAGGUCCUGCUGGCACAUCCCUCUGACACACUCUACAGAAGAAAAAGUAAAACUAGGAACUUUUUGACUUCUUAUUUUGCAGAAGUGUGACCUUUCGACCUGAAUCACGAUGAGUGGUUAUGAGGAAGAGCUGCUCUCACUUCUAAAUUAUUGCCAUGCAAUGAGCAGGUUUCCAUGGGGUAGCUGAAGGCAUGUCCUGAGGUACAAGGGAUACAAGCAUCCCAUUCUUGCUCUACUUUGCACUAAAGGACUGGUCUUAGAGGAGCUUAUUCUCUAAAAAUGACCUGACUGGCUGAAUAAAACACAAUUUCUGUUUUAAUAUUGUUGUGUUAUGAAACACUGCAAUAGAGGCACAAAUGUGGGCAAGAACAAGUUUUACUGCAGACGCUUUAUCUGCUGAUAGAUUGUCCCAGUGCUGCAUUCCUCAUUCCCUGGGGGUCUGGUCCAGCUCAGAUUGGAAGAUAGUGAAGAUCUUGGGAGAUCUCCAGUAGUGUGGGUCAAAAUUCACUGAUUACAGAAAUGCAAUUGGUUCAGUUGAUCUGCAUAAAGAAAAAAACCACAGCCCAUAGUGGGAAUGUAGAGUAGGAUUGAGAGGAAAAGCUGAGCCCUAAUAGGGAGGCUGGUGCAUGGUGUAUUCAAUAAUUGCAUUUAUGAAUAAACAAUUAAGUAUUACCAAUGAAUCUCUUGCAUUUUAUUGACCCAGGCACAGAAGCUGCUUUUUGGCACUGAUGACUUGCUCAGUUCACGCUUGACAAUGGGGAAUUGUAGUGGCUGUUCCCUUAAGAAAUCAUCCAAGAUUGGGACUUAUUUGUGCGCCAUUGCUUGCAUCAAUUAACAGUACAAUCUUUUUGUUAUGAAAACGCAAACAUUAGUAGCCUGAGGAGCCUUGUAAAUGCAAAUAUAAAACUUUAAUUUCAGUAACCCCCACUUUCCCUUCAAGUACAAUAAAGGCUCUUUUUUUUUUUUUUUUUCAUUUGCUGUUACAACGACGGGUCUUUAUUAUUAUUAUUAUUAUUUUUCCUCUUUCUCUUCACUUUACAUUGAGUUUAACUCAGGGGAUUUCAGUAGGGAUAGUUUUCCAUCAGCAGAUAUGGGGUGGCUGCAGCCGGUGCUGGGAUCUGUGGGCUCCUUGGGGCAGGUCAGUGCCAACCAUAGGGAGGGGAUCAUGGCUGGGCACUGGGGCCAGCCUUGGGCAGGGCAGAAUUCUCACGUGAGGAUUCUUUCCACUCUCUCCAGGCAGCUGGAGAGCCUAAAUUUGGCAUCGUGUUUCUGUUGCGAGAAUGAGAAGGAGAGAGAGACCUUGAAACGUGCCCUUGGCCAUGGCCCCGGUUGGGUGACCAUUGCUGCAGGGAAUGCUUUGGGGUCAAAACUGAUGGUUUUACUGUGAAGUGGUAUGAAAGAGAGAGCUGCCUUCUUGAAAGCAAGGUGGGAGAUGGCACCUGAGUCCGUGAUGAAAGAAUUGGACAAAAACCCAAGGUCUGCUUUCCCCUCUCUUUUUUACACCACGCAUGUACAAGUAAGACAGCCGCUUUGCUUUCUUCCUCCCAUGUUGGCCCAAGUGUGCCUGGGUAUGUUUCUAAACAGAAAACCUGCCCUCAGCAAGGUGCAGUCUGCAGCUCCUCAGGUUCCC
rnacentral:lncRNA from 1 species